GUUUACGGCCAUACCACCCAAAAUGUGCCGGAUCUUGUCUGAUCUCAGAAGCUAAGCAGGGUCGGGCCUGGUUAGUAUGUGGAUGGGAGACCACCUAAGAAUACCAGGUGCUGUAAGCA
rnacentral:rRNA from 1 species